UCGUAUCUUAAGUAUAAAUGGGGAGUCGGACCUGCCCGGUGAAGAGUUUUUAACGGCCGCGGUACUCUGACCGUGCAAAGGUAGCAUAAUCAUUUGCCUUAUAAUUGAAGGCUGGUAUGAAUGGUUUGACAAGAAUAUAGCUGUCUCUUUAUUGAUUUGAUAGAAUUUUAUUUCUGGGUGAAAAAGCCUAGAUUUAAUUAAAAGACAAGAAGACCCUAUCGAGCUUUAAAGAAUUGAGUGGAUAUGAUUAAAUAAUGCCGAUAUAAAAUUGUAGAAGGCAAAGCUGCUUAAUAUUUUGGUUGGGGCGACUGAGGAACAUGUAAAGCUUCCUUUAUAUUAUUUCUAAACUUUCGAGUGUUGAUCCAAUUAUAUUGAUUAAGGGAAUUAGUUACCGUAGGGAUAACAGCAUUAUCCUUCUUGAGAGCCCAUAUCGAAAGAAGGGUUUGUGACCUCGAUGUUGGACCAGAAUGUCCUAAAGAUGCAGAAGUCUUUGAGGGUUGGUCUGUUCGACCAUUAAAAUUCUA
rnacentral:rRNA from 1 species